UUCUAAUAUGGCAGAUUAGUGCAGAGGAUUUAAGAUCCUAACAUAAAGUUGAACUUUUUUUAGAA
rnacentral:tRNA from 1 species